UACGAAGGGUGCAAGCGUUGCUCGGAAUUAUUGGGCGUAAAGCGCGCGUAGGCGGCUUUGCAAGUCCGAUGUGAAAUCUUAUGGCUUAACCUUAAAAGUGCAUCGGAAACUGCAGAGCUUGAGUACUUAAGAGGAUCGCGGAAUUCCCGGUGUAGAGGUGAAAUUCGUAGAUAUCGGGAGGAACACCAGUGGCGAAGGCGGCGAUCUGGGAAGAUACUGACGCUGAGGUGCGAAAGCGUGGGGAGCAAACAGG
rnacentral:rRNA from 1 species